rnacentral:rRNA from 1 species
CACGUAGGGUGCGAGCGUUGUCCGGAAUUAUUGGGCGUAAAGAGCUCGUAGGCGGUGUGUCGCGUCGGCCGUGAAAACCUGCAGCUUAACUGUGGGCUUGCGGUCGAUACGGGCAUCACUGGAGUUCGGCAGGGGAGACUGGAAUUCCUGGUGUAGCGGUGAAAUGCGCAGAUAUCAGGAGGAACACCGGUGGCGAAGGCGGUUCUCUGG